rnacentral:rRNA from 1 species
CAGCAGCCGCGGUAAUACAGAGGGUGCGAGCGUUAAUCGGAUUUACUGGGCGUAAAGCGUGCGUAGGCGGCUUUUUAAGUCGGAUGUGAAAUCCCUGAGCUUAACUUAGGAAUUGCAUUCGAUACUGGGAAGCUAGAGUAUGGGAGAGGAUGGUAGAAUUCCAGGUGUAGCGGUGAAAUGCGUAGAGAUCUGGAGGAAUACCGAUGGCGAAGGCAGCCAUCUGGCCUAAUACUGACGCUGAGGUACGAAAGCAUGGGGAGCAAACAGGAUUAGAGACCCCGGUAGUCCCUGUCUCUUAUAU